UACGUAGGGGGCGAGCGUUGUCCGGAUUUAUUGGGCGUAAAGCGCGUGUAGGCGGCUUUGCAAGUCGGGUGUGAAAGCCCUCAGCUCAACUGAGGAAGUGCGCCCGAAACUGCAGAGCUUGAGUGCCGGAGAGGGUGGGCGGAAUUCCCCAAGUAGAGGUGGAAAGUUCGUAAGAUAUGGGGAGGAACACCAGGUGGCGAAGGCGGCCGACCUAGGCGGUAACUGGAGGC
rnacentral:rRNA from 1 species